CCCAAUUUUUGAGUUGAGAGAAUUUAAAUGUUCAUACAUUUUACUCAUUCUUAAAUUCAAAGGGACCAAUCUGCCAUCUUCCAGCGUGUACGCGUGUAUGGCAGGUUAGCAGCAUCAGCAGCAUGAAUCUACAAUGUGGUUUCCAAACUGAGCAAUAGCACAAAGAGAAGCUCUGUUCCCCCACUGAUGAGCCAGCACAAACUGCCAGCCCCCUCACUGAAUCAUUCCUCUAGUAAAUGUCCUUCACCAUUGGCUUUUAUGCAGCACAGCUCCCUCGCCCAGACUUCAGGCACUGUAAACGGCAAGCAGGGUCAGAGUAAUUGAAAUCAUUAAUCGUGUUUUAUUCCACUUUGGGGCAAAGUAAGCUUGAAUUGGAAAGAGAUAGUGUCAUGUGGAGAGACUGGAAGUGAAUGGUGCUGUUUGAACGAGGCCUGUCCCGGCAACUGGAACUGACCUGUAUUCAGAGACGAACCCAAACCGACAUAUUCAAUUUUAAGGCCAACGAUAUCAGCUUGUGUCCGGGCCUGCUCGAGUUUCAACAUCGGUAGACGUGCUGGAUGAAGACUCAAAGCCCAUUUGUCCACUCAAGCUGCUCACAAUCCAGGUUGACUCUGCCUCUGAUGGCCAAAAAAAGCUGUGAAAACAAAAAGUCAAAUAUUAAAAUGAAUAAGCUAAUAAAAAAAUUGUUCUUCCAGUAGGUCUGAACCAAACAUCGCUCUAAUUCAUCUGCCAAAGAAUGUAUCACUGAGUUGAAAAAGUACACACACAGAAUAAUAAUCUUGUCUGUUAAAAUCUA